UGAGGAAUAUUGGGCAAUGCCCGCAAGGGUGACCCAGCAACGCCGCGUGGAGGAUGAAUGUCGUAAGAUUGUAAACUCCUGUUAGAGGGGAAGAAUAGUACCGGUUGGACCGGUAUAUGACUGUACCCUCAGAGAAAGCCCCGGCUAACUACGUGCCAGCAGCCGCGGUAAUACGGAGGAUCCGAGCGUUAUCCGGAUUUAUUGGGUUUAAAGGGUGCGCAGGCGGGAUGUUAAGUCGGCGGUGAAAUUUUGCAGCUCAACUGUAAAAGUGCCUUCGAUACUGGCUUCCUUGAGUGUGGAUGAAGUAGGCGGAAUUUGUGGUGUAGCGGUGAAAUGCUUAGAUAUCACGAGGAACUCCGAUUGCGCAGGCAGCUUACUAAGCCACAACUGACGCUCAUGCACGAAGGCGUGGGGAUCAAACA
rnacentral:rRNA from 1 species